rnacentral:rRNA from 1 species
UACGAGUGCCCCAAGCGUUAUCCGGAAUCAUUGGGCGUAAAGGGUGUGUAGGUUGUUGUAUUAGUCUUCUGUUAAAAUCCGGGGCUCAACCCCGGACCUGCAGAGGAAACGGUACGACUAGAGGAUGCGAGAGGUGAAUGGAACUCAUGGAGUAGGGGUGAAAGUCCGUUGAUAUCAUGGGGAACACCAAAGGCGAAGGCAAUUCACUGGCGCAUCCUGACACUGAGACACGAAAGCGUGGGUAGC